rnacentral:lncRNA from 1 species
UGAAGAUCUCGCCAAUAAAGGGUUUUGAUGAGAGGUUCUCAGGUUUCUCUUUAGGGGAUGGCCCAAAACACAAGAGUUCUCAGGUUUCUCUUGGAAACUAUGGUUAUGAAUUGUGUUUAUGUGUAGGGUGUUGUGUGAAUGAUGAUCAUCAUCAUUAUCAUUAUCAUUAUCUAGUGUAUAUGGUGAUGGUGAUGAUGAUGGUUGUGUGUGAAUGGAGCGAUGAAGAUUGCAUGAAGGUUGAUGAAGACAAGCUUGAUGUGUCUUUUGUUAUCCCUCGUUAGGGCAACUUCGAUCCUUUGGCAAGCUUCGGUUCCCCUCGGAAUCAGCAGAUUAUCACUAUCUUUCU